rnacentral:rRNA from 1 species
CAAUAGCGUACAUUAAAGUUGUUGCAGUUAAAAAGCUCGUAGUUGGAUUUGUGGCGUACGGUGUGUUCCGGGCACUUGUUGUCUGAGUAACCUGCUGUUGCCAUCCUUGGGUGGAACCUGUGUGGCAUUAGGUUGUCGUGCAGGGGAUGCCCAUCAUUUACUGUGAAAAAAUUAGAGUGUUCAAAGCAGGCUUAUGCCGUUGAAUAUAUUAGCAUGGAAUAAUGAGAUAGGACUUUUUUGCUAUUUAGUUGGUUUGCGCAAAGAGGUAAUGAUUAAUAGGGACAGUUGGGGGUAUUCGUAUUCCAUUGUCAGAGGUGAAAUUCUUGGAUUUUUGGAAGACGAACUACUGCGAAAGCAUUUACCAAGGAUGUUUUCAUUAA